CCUACGGGAGGCAGCAGUGAGGAAUAUUGGUCAAUGGUCGGGAGACUGAACCAGCCAAGCCGCGUGAGGGAUGAAGGUCCAGUGUAUCGUAAACCUCUUUUGUCAGGGAACAAAGGCGGGGACGUGUCCCCGGAUGAGUGUACCUGAAGAAAAAGCAUCGGCUUACUCCGUGCCAGCAGCCGCGGUAAUACGGAGGAUGCGAGCGUUAUCCGGAUUUAUUGGGGUUAAAGGGUGCGUAGGCGGGUCGUUAAGUCAGUCGUCAAAGGUCCGGGCUCAACCCCCGGACGGCCGUUGAAACUGACAGUCUCGAGUGGGAGAGAGGUAUGCGGAAUGCGCGGUGUAGCGGUGAAAUGCAUAGAUAUCGCGAAGAACUCCGAUUGCGAAGGCAGCAUGCCGGCUCCACACUGACGCUGAGGCACGAAAGCGUGGGUAUCGAACAGGAUUAGAUACCCGAGUAGUC
rnacentral:rRNA from 1 species